GACGAACGCUGGCGGCGUGCCUAAUACAUGCAAGUUGAGCGCUGAAGGUUGGUACUUGUACCAACUGGAUGAGCAGCGAACGGGUGAGUAACGCGUGGGGAAUCUGCCUUUGAGCGGGGGACAACAUUUGGAAACGAAUGCUAAUACCGCAUAAAAACUUUAAACACAAGUUUUAAGUUUGAAAGAUGCAAUUGCAUCACUCAAAGAUGAUCCCGCGUUGUAUUAGCUAGUUGGUGAGGUAAAGGCUCACCAAGGCGACGAUACAUAGCCGACCUGAGAGGGUGAUCGGCCACAUUGGGACUGAGACACGGCCCAAACUCCUACGGGAGGCAGCAGUAGGGAAUCUUCGGCAAUGGACGAAAGUCUGACCGAGCAACGCCGCGUGAGUGAAGAAGGUUUUCGGAUCGUAAAACUCUGUUGGUAGAGAAGAACGUUGGUGAGAGUGGAAAGCUCAUCAAGUGACGGUAACUACCCAGAAAGGGACGGCUAACUACGUG
rnacentral:rRNA from 1 species